rnacentral:rRNA from 1 species
UGCAAGUCGAACGAGAGGACAAGAGAAGCUUGCUUCUUUUGGAAUCGAGUGGCAAACGGGUGAGUAACACGUAAACAACCUGCCUUCAGGAUGGGGACAACAGACGGAAACGACUGCUAAUACCGAAUACGCUUGGAAGACCGCAUGAUCUUCCAAGGAAAGGGUGGCCUCUACCUGUAAGCUAUCGCCUGAAGAGGGGUUUGCGUCUGAUUAGGCAGUUGGUGAGGUAACGGCCCACCAAACCUACGAUCAGUAGCCGGUCUGAGAGGAUGAACGGCCACACUGGAACUGAGACACGGUCCAGACUCCUACGGGAGGCAGCAGUGGGGAAUCUUCCGCAAUGGGCGAAAGCCUGACGGAGCAACGCCGCGUGAGUGAUGACGGCCUUCGGGUUGUAAAGCUCUGUGAUCGGGGACGAACGGUCCGUAAGCUAAUACCUUAUGGAAGUGACGGUACCCGAAUAGCAAGCCACGGCUAACUACGUGCCAGCAGCCGCGGUAAUACGUAGGUGGCAAGCGUUGUCCGGAAUUAUUGGGCGUAAAGCGCGCGCAGGCGGCUUUCUAAGUCCAUCUUAAAAGUGCGGGGCUUAACCCCGUGAUGGGAUGGAAACUGGGAAGCUGGAGUAUCGGAGAGGAAAGUGGAAUUCCUAGUGUAGCGGUGAAAUGCGUAGAGAUUAGGAAGAACACCGGUGGCGAAGGCGACUUUCUGGACGACAACUGACGCUG